AAGACUGGGCUUACCGGAGGCAAGUGGCUAGUACUAUAAAUUCUCAACCCAGCAGGCCAUCAACGGACCGGUCCUUAAUCGACACAGUUGGAGACACUACUUUAAGACUCCAUUCUUAAAGCAAGUCCACCGACCGGUCUCAAAUUGAAACAUCAUUGAUCGUAAGUGUAUCCCACAACAACCCUUCCAACUUUCUUGUUUGAAAACCUAUCUAGUAACAGGGCUAAGCAUCGCUAUGCAGUUUUAAAAUAAAACAGGUGUCAAGGACAGGAUAACAGAUAUCAAGGUAGUAAAUGCAGCAAGUAGGUUAAUCCAAUUCUCAACUACCUAAUGCAGCAUUUUCAAUUCAUAAGUGAUAAAAGAUUUAAAACAUCCAAGGAGGGGUUAAUGCAUCCGGGGCUUGCCUUGGUUGCAGGGCAGAGAGGGACCCUCGGAGACUUCCCAAGUCUCGGAUCCGACUUCCUCGAACGGAGCACCGACCUCGAGGUUCGGUUCAACGGGCGCUCCUUCGGUCACGGACGCUAUACGCAAGAUGAUGAAUGCUUAUGAUAUGCGUAUGGUAAUUAUGCAAGAUGGACCGAAUUAAGUACAAUUUGCCUUUUUAAUGUAAUACAGAAUUGUCACUAAAUAAAGUUGUUUAAUAACUUAAUAUUUUUACCCAAGAGGUUGCAUCUGUAAACUAAGACUUUACUUAAUUCAUAAUUAUCUUAAAUUAAGUAAUUAUUAAACCUAUUUACCUUAAUUAAUUCUUAAUUAAUUACUAAUGACAGCAAUUAAGCAUUAAGGCUAAACAAUAAUUAAAUGCCAAAGGUCAUUAGGGUUAAUGACCUCAGGUCAUCACAUAAUCCAAAAUCACUCAACCCUAAUUAUGAGGACCUAAAUAACCACUAUUUAAUUAUUUUGGAAUUAUUACUUAAGUGUUAAAUAAGGGUUUAUUAAUAUUUUAAACAAACAUUAUCCAAAUGCCACCAAAUUUUGUGGGGAGCCAGGGAACAAUAUUCAGAGGCAUCUCACAAUUUUUGGUGAUUUUUGGACAUACUAACAAAUUAUUAAAAAUCAUACAAGUUUUAUUUGCUAAUUAAAAGGGCCAAUUUUUACAGAUAGGCAAACUACCAGAAAAAUAAUACUUAGUAUUUAUCUUAUGCUACAAACAUUUUAUGGAAGCUAUACAAAAAUUCUCAUGAUUUUUGGAUCAAUACAGAAUUUAUUAUUUGAGUUCAAAUAUCAAACACUUUUAAACAAAAAGGAAAAAGAAAAAAAAAACUAGCCACGCGGCCGGCCCGCUUGGCCUCGGCCCACGCUGGCUCGAGCGCUCGCUCCGAGCGGAUGGCGCGCGCGGCCCCCUCCCCUCACGCGGACACUGACGGGCGGGUCCCGCCCGUCAGUUCCGUCUUCUUCCUCGCGCCGCACUGCUCCGGCGAUCGCCCAGCGUCGCUGAGCCCUCCCCUGCGCUAACCAGUUGCCCCAUUAGGUUCGCCGCGACCCCC
rnacentral:lncRNA from 1 species